rnacentral:rRNA from 1 species
AAAAACGACUCUCGGCAACGGAUAUCUCGGCUCUCGCAUCGAUGAAGAACGUAGCGAAAUGCGAUACUUGGUGUGAAUUGCAGAAUCCCGUGAACCAUCGAGUCUUUGAACGCAAGUUGCGCCCGAGGCCUUCUGGCCGAGGGCACGUCUGUCUGGGCGUCACGC